rnacentral:rRNA from 1 species
UACGGGGGGAGCAAGCGUUGUUCGGAUUUACUGGGCGUAAAGGGCGCGUAGGCGGCCACUGCAAGUCAGUUGUGAAAUCUCCGGGCUUAACCCGGAAAGGUCAACUGAUACUGCAGGGCUAGAGUGCAGAAGGGGCAACUGGAAUUCUCGGUGUAGCGGUGAAAUGCGUAGAUAUCGAGAGGAACACCUGCGGCGAAGGCGGGUUGCUGGGCUGACACUGACACUCAGAUACGAAAGUGUGGGGAUCAAACAGG